rnacentral:rRNA from 1 species
CUUAAGCAUAUCAAUAAGCGGAGGAAAAGAAACCAACAGGGAUUGCCCUAGUAACGGCGAGUGAAGCGGCAACAGCUCAAAUUUGAAAUCUGGCUCUUUUAGAGUCCGAGUUGUAAUUUGCAGAGGGCGCUUUGGCUUUGGCAGCGGUCCAAGUUCCUUGGAACAGGACGUCACAGAGGGUGAGAAUCCCGUACGUGGUCGCUGGCUAUUGCCGUGUAAAGCCCCUUCGACGAGUCGAGUUGUUUGGGAAUGCAGCUCUAAAUGGGAGGUACAUUUCUUCUAAAGCUAAAUAUUGGCCAGAGACCGAUAGCGCACAAGUAGAGUGAUCGAAAGAUGAAAAGCACUUUGGAAAGAGAGUCAAACAGCACGUGAAAUUGUUGAAAGGGAAGCGCUUGCAGCCAGACUUGCUUACAGUUGCUCAUCCGGGUUUUUACCCGGUGCACUCUUCUGUAGGCAGGCCAGCAUCAGUUUGGGCGGUAGGAUAAAGGUCUCUGUCACGUACCUCCUUUCGGGGAGGCCUUAUAGGGGAGACGACAUACUACCAGCCUGGACUGAGGUCCGCGCAUCUGCUAGGAUGCUGGCGUAAUGGCUGUAAGCGGCCCGUCUUGAAACACGGACCAAGGAGUCUAACAUCUAUGCGAGUGUUUGGGUGUCAAGCCCGAGCGCGUAAUGAAAGUGAACGGAGGUGGGAACCCGCAAGGGUGCACCAUCGACCGAUCCUGAUGUCUUCGGAAGGAUUUGAGUAAGAGCAUGGCUGUUGGGACCCGAAAGAUGGUGAACUAUGCUUGAAUAGGGUGAAGCCAGAGGAAACUCUGGUGGAGGCUCGCAGCGGUUCUGACGUGCAAAUCGAUCGUCAAAUUUGGGCAUAGGGGCGAAAGACUAAUCGAACUAUCUAGUAGCUGGUUCCUGCCGAAGU